rnacentral:tRNA from 1 species
GGGCCCAUAGAUCAGUUGGAAGAUCGUCACCCUUGCAAGGUGAAGGCCGCGGGUUCAAAUCCCGCUGGGUCCA